ACAUACUGAGCAGUGAGGACAGCUGGGGCCACCUCCAUCACUACUGCUACUUCUCCUACUGGACUGGCUUAAAGAUGGCCUAUCACAAAGGUGGGAAGAAGUCCAAAGCCAUCCAAGUGGGUCCAGAUCUGGAACCGAUUAUCCAGCAGAAACACCACUGACACUAGCAUUUGACACUUGGUGAUGCUCAGGACUGGAUUCCAGAAGCACUGCCACUCCCCGCCCUCAAGAAUUGGAUCCCUCUACCGCCUGGUCUGCUUCAAGUCCAGUAUUCCUGGGUGCACCUCCCUCAGGGGUUCCCUCUAGAUCUGCCUCCUGAGGAUAGAUUAGAUGUAGCUAGGCUGCAUGCCUGCUCCCUAAUGCAGAGAGUUUGGGUUUGCAAGUUUUCUGGCUUCCUCUUUGCGAAGGUGGGACACACGAUGCAGGAAAUGACCAUGAUGGAAGAAGAACGCUCAGAUGAUAGGGUGACUUGGGUGAGGAAUGUCCCUUACAGGCUCAGUUAUUUUGAAUGUCCGCAUACAGUGAUCGUGGAUUUCUGUCCCUGAGGAGAAGCUUCCUGCGGCAAGUACCAGUCAGCACUCUCCAGAUGCAUUCCCCACUCCUCAGAUCCCAGGAUGGUUCCAACCCUUUGCUGCCACAGAGAAAACUUGCCAUUUCUGAAACCUGUAGCCCCUCUUCCUCUGUUCCUUCCCUCACCAGCAUACCCAGCCUUGGCAUGGGGUAUUAAGAUGAUGAAAAUAAACUGAUAAAAGUG